GAUGAACGCUGGCGGCGUGCCUAAUACAUGCAAGUCGAGCGAACGGACGAGAAGCUUGCUUCUCUGAUGUUAGCGGCGGACGGGUGAGUAACACGUGGAUAACCUACCUAUAAGACUGGGAUAACUUCGGGAAACCGGAGCUAAUACCGGAUAAUAUUUUGAACCGCAUGGUUCAAAAGUGAAAGACGGUCUUGCUGUCACUUAUAGAUGGAUCCGCGCUGCAUUAGCUAGUUGGUAAGGUAACGGCUUACCAAGGCAACGAUGCAUAGCCGACCUGAGAGGGUGAUCGGCCACACUGGAACUGAGACACGGUCCAGACUCCUACGGGAGGCAGCAGUAGGGAAUCUUCCGCAAUGGGCGAAAGCCUGACGGAGCAACGCCGCGUGAGUGAUGAAGGUCUUCGGAUCGUAAAACUCUGUUAUUAGGGAAGAACAUAUGUGUAAGUAACUGUGCACAUCUUGACGGUACCUAAUCAGAAAGCCACGGCUAACUACGUGCCAGCAGCCGCGGUAAUACGUAGGUGGCAAGCGUUAUCCGGAAUUAUUGGGCGUAAAGCGCGCGUAGGCGGUUUUUUAAGUCUGAUGUGAAAGCCCACGGCUCAACCGUGGAGGGUCAUUGGAAACUGGAAAACUUGAGUGCAGAAGAGGAAAGUGGAAUUCCGUGUGUAGCGGUGAAAUGCGCAGAGAUAUGGAGGAACACCAGUGGCGAAGGCGACUUUCUGGUCUGUAACUGACGCUGAUGUGCGAAAGCGUGGGGAUCAAACAGGAUUAGAUACCCUGGUAGUCCACGCCGUAAACGAUGAGUGCUAAGUGUUAGGGGGUUUCCGCCCCUUAGUGCUGCAGCUAACGCAUUAAGCACUCCGCCUGGGGAGUACGACCGCAAGGUUGAAACUCAAAGGAAUUGACGGGGACCCGCACAAGCGGUGGAGCAUGUGGUUUAAUUCGAAGCAACGCGAAGAACCUUACCAAAUCUUGACAUCCUUUGACAACUCUAGAGAUAGAGCCUUCCCCUUCGGGGGACAAAGUGACAGGUGGUGCAUGGUUGUCGUCAGCUCGUGUCGUGAGAUGUUGGGUUAAGUCCCGCAACGAGCGCAACCCUUAAGCUUAGUUGCCAUCAUUAAGUUGGGCACUCUAAGUUGACUGCCGGUGACAAACCGGAGGAAGGUGGGGAUGACGUCAAAUCAUCAUGCCCCUUAUGAUUUGGGCUACACACGUGCUACAAUGGACAAUACAAAGGGCAGCGAAACCGCGAGGUCAAGCAAAUCCCAUAAAGUUGUUCUCAGUUCGGAUUGUAGUCUGCAACUCGACUACAUGAAGCUGGAAUCGCUAGUAAUCGUAGAUCAGCAUGCUACGGUGAAUACGUUCCCGGGUCU
rnacentral:rRNA from 1 species